rnacentral:rRNA from 1 species
AGCUCCAAUAGCGUAUAUUAAUGUUGUUGCAGUUAAAAAGCUCGUAGUUGGAUUUCUGGAUUGAACGGCUGGCCUUGCGCGCAAGCGUUCGUGUCGGCUUCUUCGGUCCAUCCUCAGGGGGACUGGCGCUGGUAUUCACGUAUCGGUGUCAGGACGCCUGUCGUUUACUGUGAACAAAUUAGAGUGUUCAAAGCAAGGUGUACUUGAAUACAUUAGCAUGGAAUAAUAAGAUAGGACUUUGGUGGUUCUUUUUGAUAUUUUGUUGGUUUGCACGCCAAAGUAAUGAUUAAUAGGAGCAGUUGGGGGUAUUCGUAUUCAAUUGUCAGAGGUGAAAUUCUUGGAUUUAUAGAAGACGAACUACUGCGAAAGCAUUUACCAAGGAUGUUUUCAUUA